AAGUCGUAACAAGGUUUCCGUAGGUGAACCUGCGGAAGGAUCAUUAACACGUAUCCACGUAUCUACCUCUUGCGAACUUGUUAUUUGUUUGUAGCUGUGUCUUGUAUAACUGAGGAAGCAGAUUACCAUGUCGUUCUGACUUUCAGAAAUAUUCUUUUUUUGAUCGAUGGAAUGUUCUGCUUGCCUGUCCACCGUUGCUGAGUGCUAGUGUAUCGAGAUUGACCCAUCAUUUCGGUGAUGAGGCAAUCCUAUUAGCCAAAACUCCACGGAUCGGGUACAAGAUAUUAGCUCGAAUCAUGGUGGUAUUCACCAUUAACCCUUUUUUUUCUAAAUUGUCUUAGUGAGUGUCCUGGUAGUAGCUUUUUGCGAAACUAGGCCUCCCCAAAAUUUAAACACUAUACAACUCUUAGCAACGGAUAUCUCGGUUCUCC
rnacentral:misc_RNA from 1 species